rnacentral:tRNA from 1 species
UGUAAUUUAGUUUAGAUAGAAUAUUUAUUUUUGGUGUAAAUGGGUAUAAUUACAA